ACAAAGUGACAACAGGGCUUCUCUAGGGAACAGCAGGAAUUGCUUUUCAAAACCCAGUAUUCAUUCAGCCUGCUAGAGGAUCCAGACCAACUUCGAGUGAGCCAGCAGCUUUUCCCGAGCCGCUCUCAUCACCUCGGGCCUCACCAGGAGCAGCCGCCGCCGCCACCACCGCCCCCGACUGUCCGACUGUGGCCGCUCCACACAGAGAAACUCGGCCUGAGGGUGGAGUCGGGGCCUGAGGGAAGCGAGCGGGGAGCAGAGUCAAGGAUACCCCAUGCAGGGGCUCUGACUGCAGAGAGGACUGACCGACUGACUGACUUCUCCCCGCCUUCUUCGCCCGCUGAAGGAACUGGAAAGAAUAAAAACCGAAAAAAAACCCUCCUCAACGGCGUGCAUCUAACCUCACGAAUGGAUGGGAAAUGGUGGAUUUGUCUCGGGCAAUAGAUGCAAUUUUGAGCCUGCUGUGGCGCAACUCCUUUGCCCGCACUUCCUUUGGGGGAGAUCGUUCGUUUUUUAUAGGAUUCCAAUUAAAAUAGGAAAAAAUCAA